ensembl:snRNA U4 U4 spliceosomal RNA
AGCUUUGCACAGUGGCAGUAUUGUGGCCAAUGAGUUUUAUCCCAGGCACAGUUAUUGCUAAUUGGAAAAAAAUAAUAAAGUAAAAGGGGAGACAGAGAUAUCAUUGGGAUUUCUCUAUGGAA